UUUUUUUGGAAAAAUUUUCACGCUUUGAUAGCCAACAUGUUGAACAGAAAAUUAUAAAAUGGGAAAGGCAAAGUAAACCCUAGAUUUGAGGAAAUUAGGGUUUAGGGUAGAAUGGAAGAAUGUAGAGAGAACAAGAAAGGGAAAAAACAGAUGCAGAUUAUGAAAAAGAGAAAUAGAGUGGAUAGAGAGGUAAGGAAUUGAGGAGGUAGACGGUGAAAACUAGGGUUUUCUAUGUGGGAGAUUAACAUUCACG
rnacentral:misc_RNA from 1 species